rnacentral:tRNA from 1 species
GGGCCUAUAGUCUAGUGGUACGACGCGGCAUUCGCAUUGCCGAAGCCCGGGUUCGACUCCCGGUAGGUCCACCA